rnacentral:rRNA from 1 species
GACGAACGCUGGCGGCGUGCUUAACACAUGCAAGUCGAACGGUGAAGCGCCUUCCUUUUUGGUGGGUGUGGAUGAGUGGCGAACGGGUGAGUAACACGUUAGUAACCUGCCCCCUUCUUCUGGAUAACCGCAUGAAAGUUUGGCUAAUACGGGAUAUUCUGGGUCUGUCGCAUGAUGGGUCUGGGAAAGAUUUUGUUUCGGUGGGGGAUGGGCUCGCGGCCUAUCAGGUUGUUGGUGGGGUGAUGGCCUACCAAGGCGGUGAGGGGUAGCCGGCCUGGGAGGGUGGACGGCCACAGUGGGAAGGAGACACGGACCAGACUCCGACGGGAGGCAGCAGUGGGGAAUAGAGAACAAUGGGCGCAAGCAUGAUGCAGCGACGCGGCGGGAGGGAUGGAGGCCGUCGGGUUGUGAACCUCUUUCGCCAGUGAAGCAGGCCUGCCUCGUUUGUGGGUGGGUUGACGGUAGCUGGAGAAGAAGCGCCGGCUAACUACGUG